AUUAGGUAGUUGGUUGGGUAAGAGCCGACCAAGCCGACGAUCCAUAGCUGGUUUGAGAGGAUGAUCCCCCACACUGGUACUGAGAUACGGACCAGACUCCUACGGGAGGCAGCAGUAGGGAAUAUUGGUCAAUGGGCGAGAGCCUGAACCAGCCAUGCCGCGUGCAGGACGACGGCCUUCUGGGUUGUAAACUGCUUUUAUACAUGAAUAAAAAGUGCCUGCGGGCGAAAUUGCAUGUACUGUAUGAAUAAGCACCGGCUAACUCCGUGCCAGCAGCCGCGGUAAUACGGAGGGUGCAAGCGUUGUCCGGAUUUAUUGGGUUUAAAGGGUGCGUAGGCGGUUAUUUAAGUCAGUGGUGAAAACCCUGAGCUCAACUGAGGGCUUGCCAUUGAUACUGGAUAACUUGAUUACCGUACGGGUAGGCGGAAUUUAUGGUGUAGCGGUGAAAUGCAUAGAUACCAUAAAGAACACCGAUAGCGAAGGCAGCUUACUGGAGGGUAAAUGACGCUGAUGCACGAAAGCGUGGGUAGCGAACGGGAUUAGAUACCCCGGUAGUCCACGCUGUAAACGAUGAUCACUCGAUGUGUGCGAUAGACAGUACGCGUCCAAGCGAAAGCGUUAAGUGAUCCACCUGGGGAGUACGACCGCAAGGUUG
rnacentral:rRNA from 1 species